AUUGAACGCUGGCGGCAGGCCUAACACAUGCAAGUCGAACGAGUGGCGGACGGGUGAGUAAUGUCUGGGAAACUGCCUGAUGGAGGGGGAUAACUACUGGAAACGGUAGCUAAUACCGCAUACCAUCGGAUGUGCCCAGAUGGGAUUAGCUAGUAGGUGGGGUAAAGGCUCACCUAGGCGACGAUCCCUAUCUGGUCUGAGAGGAUGACCAGCCGCACUGGAACUUAGCCACGGUCCAGACUCCUACAGGAGACAGCAAUGGAGAAUAUUGCACAAUGAGCGCGAGCCUGAUGCAGCCAUGCCGCGUGUGUGAAGAAGGAAUUCGGGUUGUAAAGCACUUUCAGCGAGGAGGCGUUACUCGCAGAAGGAGCGCCGGCUAACUCCGUGCCAGCAGCCGCGGGAAUUC
rnacentral:rRNA from 1 species